CGCACUUGUUGAGUUUGGGAACUUUCAGAGGCUUGAACUUCUCACUUUGGACGCAGCGGAGCUCUCACCUCAUCAUCAUUAUCAUCAGAUUCAGGCGACGUGGAUGUAUGCUGACUUUUUCGUCUAGGACUAUGUUUUGCUUUGUCGAAGUUGAUGUGGAUUGUCUUCAGUGUUUUACGCGUUAGACGCACACAGCGCGCGCGAGUAAUAAAGAACAUAACUGUGAGGAUGUGGAUGCGCCUUUAAUGCAUAUACAGAUUCAUAUCUGAAGGAGAGUUAGUGUUUGUGGGGCUAUUGGGAUAUGGCACUAUUUAUGGACUUUAAAUGCUCUCUAAAGGGACACUCGCUGGUGCAGUGAAUGGAGAACAUCGCAGCUUUGCCAAGAUGGAUCAUCAGCCCAAAUCCCAUGGGACGCCACAGCAUGCUGUCAUCUGUUCAGAUGGAGUGACAUUAGUCUGUGAGCGCCAGAAAACGUGUUGUCGUGAUGGACGGCUGCCAGGAUCUUUCUACAGACGCUCACCUAUAUUCAGCGCAGUGUUUCUGUAACGCUUUUAACCCCGACUGCUCUGCAAGCUGUUCAAAAUGGUAAUGAUGUGAGAUCCCAAACCGCCGACUGAUUUAG
rnacentral:lncRNA from 1 species